rnacentral:rRNA from 1 species
CGGAGGAAAAGAAACCAACAGGGAUUGCCUCAGUAACGGCGAGUGAAGCGGCAAGAGCUCAAAUUUGAAAGCUGGCCCCCUCGGGGUCCGCAUUGUAAUUUGCAGAGGAUGCUUCGGGAGUGGCCCCCAUCUAAGUGCCCUGGAACGGGCCGUCAUAGAGGGUGAGAAUCCCGUCUGGGAUGGGGUGCCCACGCCCGUGUGAAGCUCCUUCGACGAGUCGAGUUGUUUGGGAAUGCAGCUCUAAAUGGGUGGUAAAUUUCAUCUAAAGCUAAAUACUGGCCGGAGACCGAUAGCGCACAAGUAGAGUGAUCGAAAGAUGAAAAGCACUUUGAAAAGAGAGUUAAACAGCACGUGAAAUUGUUGAAAGGGAAGCGCUUGCGACCAGACUCGCCCACGGGGUUCAGCCGGCAUUCGUGCCGGUGUACUUCCCCGCGGGCGGGCCAGCGUCGGUUUGGGCGGCCGGUCAAAGGCCCUUGGAAUGUACCGCCCCCCGGGGCGGCUUAUAGCCAAGGGUGCCAUGCGGCCAGCCCGGACCGAGGAACGCGCUUCGGCUCGGACGCUGGCAUAAUGGUCGUAAGCGACCCGUCUUGAAAC